UUUCCAUGUCAGUUCACGUUCGAUAUUUGUGUUGUUUGGUAGCGGUAAUCGGGCGACCGUCCAAGCGCCUUGAAAACGAAUCGAGCGCGUCGCGCUUUUCCCAAAAUUCGAACGAAUCAAAAAUACCACCCAGCAGCUGUGUGUGUGAGUGUGCGAUUUGGCUAAGAUGUGUUGCUGUGUGCGUACAGAAGUUGUUGCACUGACAAGGCGCGACCAAAAACAACGCCCAGAAAAGUAGGCAACGGAUAUAUCAACUUCUUCUGACCUACUCAAGAAAAUAUAACGAAGAUAAAAGGCAGCAGCCAGCAGCCGGAAUUCGCGAAGAGCCAAGCGAAAAUUUAAGUUAUUGUGCCAGUGUGUGUGGCUGUGCCCAAGUGUGCGUGUGUGUGAGGCGCCAACUUGCCCCGGCAGAAAAAUAGAAAUAAAUAGUCAGCCAAAUGGCAGCCCAAAGGCACAAAAAGUGAAAAGCAUAUACCAGAGAAAGAAAUAUUAAAGAAAAUUAAAUUCUCCAGCUGAGCCAAAGGCCCUACUGCGAAGUUCCAGUGAAGUGUGACGAGAUAGAAAAGCCAUUCCCGAGAAAGUACGUACAUUUUGCAAAUCAAAGCAAGGCACUAGGAUCCGGUCUGGACUAUUAAACGCAUAAUCCGCGAUGGAAGGACGCCAACCGGAGCCCCAGAAGCAGUCGGCCAGCGCCUUGUGCUCCUCCUCGGAAUCCUGCUCAUCGCUGAGUACGUGAACGUCUCCGUGGAGAAUGUCCGCUUGCAUGACAAUUGUAGCGUGCCGGCAUUCAGAAAACGCAGCAGCAACAGCAGCAGACGACGCGGCUGAGCGAGCAGUACGUGAAGUGAUUCUCAAGAACGAGCGGGAGUAGGACGAAAAGGACGCGCUGCGGCAGGAGCAAGGACAUCCCACAUCCAGCAUCCAACGCACAUGCACGACAGGAGGGCUUAGCACCUGCACUCGAGCCGCAGACAGCAGAAGAGCCAACGCACGGAAUAAGUUUGUGAAACUGCCAUAUAUUACUUUGCACAAACACGAAACAGAAAAUUGAAAACGGAAAGCAAAAAGUGGGAAUACUUGCUGAAACAAGCAGAGCGAUAACCAGGCCACGCCACAAACAGCUACUUGUGGUCAAUUAUACAAGAGGGCAAAAAAAAGGAUAACACACCAGUCCGGACAUCAAGUUAUCGAAAAAACAACGACAACAUUGCGACGUGGCCAUUUUGACCAAUAAUAAUAAUGGUUAUGCUGCUCUCGAAGCGACAACUCCCGCCAUCAGCAGCAACGAGAACGCGGCGGAAAGUGCCGCCCCCGAGGAGGAGGUCGGCGUGGGCGUGGUCAUCUCUGCUGACUCUGGUCGCCCUGGAUAUAUGUAUGGCCCGAUGCUCGGCAGCGGGCAUUAGUUAUAGCAGCAACAGCGGCAACCUGAGCACUUCGCAAAAGAGUCCCUCGUCGGCGAAUAAUGGCGGACUCGUGCUGAUCGGUUCCAGCAGCGCCACUUCCAGUUCCGUGCCCUCAUUAUCCCUCACUUCAUCAUCGUCGGCGGGCUUGUCGUCCCCCGGCAGCAGCUCAUCCUCCUCAUCCUCAUCUUCCACGAGCACCAGCGGAUCCAAUAGCAACCGCAGUGGUAGACCCACUAGCAAUAACAGCAACUCGAACUCGAACUACAGUCCGAACCAUGAUCAAUUACCCGCGCAGCUCUCGUCGCGGAUUAUCAACACACGCAAUGGCGCCAUCUCGGGCGUAAUUGUCCAAUUAGACGGAAGGCACUUGGAUCCGGUGGAGGCGUACCGGGGAAUACCCUACGCCUCGCCGCCGGUCGGCAAUUUGAGAUUCAUGCCGCCCGUCUCCGCGGCCAUGUGGUCAGGUGUCAAAAAGGCGGACAGAUUCAGCCCGGUUUGCCCGCAGAGAUUGCCGGACAUUCACAACGAGACGGCGGCCCUGGAACGGAUGCCCAAGGGCAGACUGGAGUAUCUGAAGCGAUUGCUGCCCUAUCUGCAGAAUCAAUCAGAGGACUGCCUCUAUCUAAAUAUUUAUGUGCCCAUACAAGUUGGAUCGCGUGACUCCUCGGGCAGUUCAUCGUCUUCGUCUACCGGGUCCUCGUCAUCGGGAAGUGGAGGCUCCAGCUCUUCCUCCUCAUCGUCGUCAACGUCCUCCUCGUCGGCUGGAAGUGGAAGUCCCGCCAAGUAUCCGGUGCUGGUCUUCGUGCACGGCGAAUCAUAUGAAUGGAACAGCGGCAAUCCCUACGACGGAUCCGUGCUGGCCAGCUAUGGACAAAUAUUGGUGGUAACCAUAAAUUAUCGCCUCGGAGUGCUGGGCUUUCUGAAUGCCAACACGGACCGCUACUCCAAGCUGCCGGCCAAUUACGGCCUAAUGGACAUCAUUGCGGCGCUGCACUGGCUCAAGGAGAACAUCGCGGCCUUCGGCGGGGAUCCCAACAGCAUCACGCUCGCAGGACACGGAACUGGAGCCGCUUGCGUUCACUUCCUCAUCUCGUCGAUGGCCGUGCCGGAGGGCCUGCUCUUCAACCGGGCCAUCUUAAUGUCCGGAUCCGGUCUGGCCCCCUGGUCACUGGUCAGUAAUCCGGCUAAGUACGCCGCCAUCGUGGCCCACCACGUGAACUGUGCCUCCGACCUUCCGCACGCCCACCUCAUGAAAUGCCUGCGCGAGAAGACACUGGACCAGUUGCUCAGCGUGCCCAUUCGUCCGCCGGAGUUUGGCUUCGCCUUUGGGCCCAGCAUCGACGGAGUGGUCAUCGACGGCGGUGACUAUGUGCCCCCCGCCCCCGGAUCACCGGCGGCCCAAGCGCAGGCUCAAGCCUCCACGGCCGCUGGCAACGGAUUGGGCGGAGAGGCGGGAAUCGCAGCUGCGGGUGGCUGGGGAACACCGGGACAACUCGAGAAUAUCGUAUUAAUGAGAAAAACUGCCAUUAACAAGUUGUCAAGAUACGACCUGAUGGCCGGCGUGACACGUGCCGAGGCCUUUUUCAGCUUCAAUUCGGGCGACGUGCAAUAUGGAAUCGAGGCGGAUCGACGGUCGAGAAUUUUAAAGGCCUACGUACGGAACACGUACACGUUCCAUUUGAACGAGAUAUUCGCCACGAUUGUCAAUGAGUAUACGGAUUGGGAGAGGCCCGUGCAGCAUCCAAUUAAUAUCCGGGACGAAACACUGGAGGCGCUCAGCGAUGCUCAGGUAGUGGCUCCGGCGGCUCAAACGGUGGAUUUGCACUCGGCGGAUCAUCGGAACUCGUACCUGUACGUGUUUGACUACCAGACGCGAUUCGGUGAUUAUCCUCAGCGCCAGGGAUGCAUUCACGGCGAGGACCUGCCCUACAUCUUCGGUGCCCCGCUCGUCGGCGGUUUUAAUCACUUCACGCGCAACUACACGAAAACCGAAAUCAGUCUAUCGGAAGUUGUGAUGUUCUACUGGUCCAACUUUGUGCGAACGGGCAAUCCAAAUGAGCAAAUGGAAACGGAGCAUGGGAGUCGUCAGGAACGGAGUCGCUAUAAAACAAUCGAGUGGACAGCCUACGAGAGUGUGCACAAGAAAUACCUCAAUUUUGACACCAAGCCAAAGCUCAAGAAUCACUAUAGAGCACAUCGCCUCUCCUUCUGGCUAAAUCUUAUCCCGGAUCUGCAUAAGCCAGGAGGUGAUAAUGUGCCCGCCGCACACCACCAACUCCACGACGAUGACGAUGAAGACAACAACAUACCCAGCGAUGCCUCCGUGAAACCCCUUAAUCCGCCGUACAUUUCACGGGCUGCGAACGCGGCAGCCAUGGCAAACUUUACGAUUUUCACCAACCAGGUCUUCUCGCUGCUAAAUCUCAGUUCGCCGUCUUCGUCGCUGCAAAGGAACGGCACUCGCUACGGAGGCGGUAAGAUAUAUCCGGACGAUAUGAUGGACGGCGAUCACGCAGGUGGGGCGGCCAGUGCCUCCCAGGACAACGAUGGCUUUGCGGCGUACUCCACAGCCUUGAGUGUGACCAUCGCCAUAGGAUGCUCGCUUUUGAUCCUGAAUGUGUUGAUCUUCGCGGGCGUCUACUACCAAAGGGACAAGACCCGACUGAGCGAACCCAGACCCCAAACCAAGCUGAAGAGGCAGGAGAACGGACAGAUGCCGAAUAACAUAUGCGGCGAUCUGGAAACUCUGACCAUACACGCGAAGAGCGAUCCCGCCACGAUACUGUCGCACCACCAUGCCAUGCAGCACCACCAGCUGCCACCGCCGGAAUUCGCAGACAUACCCCACCGAGCGCCGCCUCCGCCGAAGCACAUGAAAUCGCUGCAGGAUCCGGGUGGCGGUGGUUCGGUCAGCGGGGCGGUGGGCGUUUCCGGGGUGGUGCAAAUGCCGCCGCCACACGCCCUCCAAGUGAUGGGCAAUCAGUGCGGCACCCUGACCAAGAAGAGCUGCAUGAAGCAAACGCAGGCCCAGGCCCAGCAGCACUCGCCCGCCCAGCAGCAGCAACAGCAACAGCAGCAGCAGCAACAUGUGGUCACCCAUCAGCAACACUUGCAGAAUCAUCAUAAUCAAAGCAUGACCACUGUGCUGACCACGGCCGGUGGACUGGUCGUGCCCACGCCACCCACUGUGCCGGUGAUUGUGGCCUCCACCACGCAGCACCAGCAACACCAGCAGCAGCAGCAUCAGCAGCAGCAACACCAGCAGCAGCAACACCAGCAGCAGCAGCAGCAGCAACAGCAGCAACAUCCGCUGAUGGACGAGCUGCGUGUGUGACAUUAAUUGACCGUGCGUUUUAAAUGUGAUCUCUAAACGCACAGCCACCUCAUUCCUGGAACCCCAAAUCCUUUCCCCAUGCGUUUCAGCUGUCUCUAUAUAUAAAGUACAUAGGCUAUAUGGUAGCUAUAUGAAAACCAAAAGAAGAAACACAAGUCCAAGGGAAAUGGCAACCAUGAAAUCAAAUCAUGUACAGGUGAAAGGGAGCUGUUCCUUUAAGUUGUGGCAGAGAUUUGUAAAAUUAAAGCUGUACAACUACCCCGAGAAAACAAUAGACGUAAACUAAACUCAUACUCAAACUGAACUAAGCUUUGGUCGACAGAAAACAAACGAAACAAAAGCAAAAUUAAAUUAAACUGUUAAUUGUAAGCAUGCAGGUACUUUGUUAUGUAACUAAAUAAAUAUUUAUAUAGCUAUUAAAAUUAAAUGCGUAUAUAAGCCCACACAAAACAAAAAACAAUAAUUUCCUCUAUAUAGCUAUACAAAUUUCCAGCUGCGAGAAUAGUUAAAAAUUCCAUUAGGAGUUAAGCGGGGCAAUUGAAAUGCGCAUUGAAAGCAUAACAGAUAUUCAUUACUUUUAGUUUUUGUAUUCACUGUUUUUUUCCGUUCUGAAUAAUAACUAUUUACAAACAAUUGCCCAAAAUGGUAACUAAAAUGGCAAUGAUACCCGAGAAAAACAGGAUGGGAAAAUUAAGCAAUGGAACAGCUCAUUAAAGUGAAACAGCACGAAAAUGGCAAACAAUUUACGGCGCUUAUUAAAAUACUUGUAAAUUAUAUAAACACAUUAAGCGGCAGUGGAAACAAACGCGAAAAGAAAACUAUAACGAAAAACGGAACACGGAAACCAUUUACAGCCCCAUUGAGAAUGUAUAAGUUUAUAGCUUCUGUAUGCAUAUACAUACAUCUAAAAUUAAAUCUAUAUAUUAAUGUAAUGGUGUACACUUAGAAUAAUUAGCAAAAUAAUACAACAAAUAUAUAUAUAUAAAUAAUAUAUAGAGUGCUGCAUAACUGGCAAAACAAAAGGAUACUACUAAAACCAAAUCUCAUGAAAUCUAUUGCGUUAGAAAAUGUGUAACGAUUGUGCGAAAGGGACUUAGCAUUAACAAAUUCGGACUAAUUGAAGUAUAGUAAAAACCAUAAAAACAUAAAAUUAAAAAACACUUGAGAGAAGAGAGGAAAAAUUAGUUUAAUGGUUUAUAACCAAAGUGUGCAGCAAAACAACUUGCAGGCACUAAGAUGAAAUAAAAAUUUAAAUAAUAAUAAAGUUG
rnacentral:misc_RNA from 1 species